rnacentral:rRNA from 1 species
UGGCGGCGCGUUUAAGCAUGCAAGUCGAGCGGCAAGGGCCUUCGGGCCCCUAGAGCGGCGGACGGGUGAGUAACACGUGGACAAUCUGACCCCCCGGCCCGGGAUAGCCCAGGGAAACCUGGAUUAAUACCGGAUGAGACGGGACCUGCGAUGGCGGGAUCCGGGAAAGGCGCUACGGCGCCGCCGGGGGAUGAGUCUGCGUCCCAUUAGCUAGACGCGGGGUAACGGCCCACCGUGGCGACGAUGGGUAGCCGGCCUGAGAGGGUGGACGGCCACAUUGGAACUGAGACACGGUCCAGACUCCUACGGGAGGCAGCAGCUAAGAAUCUUCCGCAAUGGGCGAAAGCCUGACGGAGGACCGACGCCGCGUGAACGAAGAAGGCCGUGAGGUUGUAAAGUUCUUUUCGGGAGGGGAACAACCGUGGCAGGGAAUGGCCGCGGGAUGACGUGAAUCCCGGAAUAAGCCCCGGCUAACUACGUGCCAGCCGCCGC